rnacentral:rRNA from 1 species
AUUGAACGCUGGCGGCAGGCCUAACACAUGCAAGUCGAGCGGUAACAGAACUAGCUUGCUAGUUGCUGACGAGCGGCGGACGGGUGCGUAACACGUAGGAAUCUGCCCGGUAGUGGGGGAUACGCCCGGAGAAAUCCGGAUUAAUACCGCAUACGCACUCUCUUUUAUAAGAGGGUGGAAAGAUGGCCUCUUCAAGAAAGCUGUCGCUAUCGGAUGAGCCUGCGUCGGAUUAGCUAGUUGGUAGGGUAAAGGCCUACCAAGGCAACGAUCCGUAGCUGGUCUGAGAGGAUGAUCAGCCACACUGGGACUGAGACACGGCCCAGACUCCUACGGGAGGCAGCAGGUGGGGAAUAUUGCACAAGUGGGCGCAAGCCUGAUGCAGCCAUGCCGCGUGUGUG